AUGCCUACUACUUGUCAGGCACUAAAUACUAACUCAUUUCAUUCUUACGACAGCCCUGCUUCACAUAUGAGAAAGCUGGGACACAGAAAGCAACUUGUCCAUUGUCCUCCAGUUAGCAGUGGCGGAGCCAGGGUGCAAAUCCAGACUGCACCUGCCCGGAGCCCACAUACUCAAUACCACCCUGCCUUCUGGACAGUCAGGACAAGCAAUUGUGCCUCUGCUACCAUUACUGUGCCAACAAAAGAGAAUUCAUAUCCUCAGCAAGCUAGCACUAAAGGGGACCGCAGAGGUCAUAUUGUCCAUCUUCUUUCUCGAACAGGGAAGAAAUUUAAGACUCAAGAAAGUCAAAGCCCUGGGAAGGAAGCUUUACCUGCUCCUCAGACUCACCCAUCUUCACUGUGACUGAUCGGGACGCAGUGAGACCCGUGAGCCUCCUUGCAGGAUGCAGCUACUCAAGGCCAAUCACGAAGAUUGUUCUCCCUAAGGUAUUUCUUGGUGAGGCAUUUAAAGGACCUUUUAGAAAAUUGUUUCUCAGAAACAACUGUGAUUUGAUUUUUGAAGCAUUCACUGUUAACGUCUGUGAGAUUUUCAGUUUUUCCAUUGAUUUUAACCCUUUAGUAACAUUCAAAAUUUCCAGAAUCUAAAGUUCCAUCUUCUAUUGAAUGAGUAAGGUCCAAAUUAAACGUCCAUGUUGACCACGUACACUUCUUGUCUUUCUUUGGCAUCAUCUUGAGAGCUGGCCGUAUGAUAUGAGGGCAGGAAUUAAUGUUUGUGUGCAUCUAAGUACUUUUGUUAGAUCUCUAAACCUAAAAUUGGCAAUACAUCUGCACUGGAGCCCAAACUACCAAUCCACACCGUGUUCCACCAGUGAACUACCAAUCCACGCCAUGUUCCACCAGUGAGCUACCAAUCCAUGCCGUGUUCCACCAGUGAGCUACCAAUCCACGCCGUGUUCCACCAGUGAGCUACCAAUCCACGCUGUGUUCCACCAGUGAGCUACCAAUCCACGCCGUGUUCCACCAGUGAGCUACCAAUCCAUGCUGUGUUCCACCAGUGAGCUACCAAUCCACGCCGUGUUCCACCAGUGAGCUACCAAUCCAUGCCGUGUUCCACCAGUGAACUAAUCUAUGCUUUGCAGCAAUUCCUCACUGACGAUACUGACAUAGACAGUAUCUGCCCUGUGCUACCACCAGCAAACCAUUAUCAUAGGUCUGAAAGUCAUCACAUUUAGGCUGGACAUGGUGGUUCAUGCCUAUAAUCCCAGCCCUUGGGGAGGCCAAGGCAGGAGAAUAACUUGAGGCCAAGAGUUGAAGACCAGCCUGGACAACAUAGUGAGACCCUAUCUCUACAAAAUUCAAAUAAAAUAAAUUAGCCAGGUGUGGUGGCACAAGCCUGUAUUCCCAGCUACUCAGGAAGCUGUGGGAGGAUCACUUGAGCCCAGGAGGUUGAGGCUGCAGUGAGCUGAGAUCACAGCAUUGCACUAUAGCCUGGGUGACAGAGCGAGGUCCUGCCUCAAAAAAAAAAAAAAAAAAAAAUUCACAUUUUUCUCACACAAAAAAAUCAUGAAACAUUUAUCUGCACACAGCACUAAGAUAGCUACUAUAUUAUGUUCAUUAACUAACACUUGAGAGGCCUAGCACACAUAGGUCUUGGUGAGUCUAAGUCUGAGUGGUACCUAAUUUAGAGAAAAGACAGAGAAGCUAGAUAAUAUAUUCAUCUUAUAUAUGGUCAACAAGUACUGUAUUUUUAAGAAUUUUAAGAAACUGCAGAGUUUGAGAAUUUUAAGAAGCUUCUUCUGAUUAAAUCAGCAUUUCAGGAACUCCUUGAUGGACUUAGCUUUCACCUUACAAUAAUUCUCCAAUCUUUAUGUUGGGAGAAAUAAAUCAGAUUUAGGAUGUGAACAUCUGAUGUGUGUAUAUUUACCUUUUGCUGCAUCACUAGGGAGCAGUUAUUAAGUAUAGUUCUACAAAUCUCAUUAUUGAGGUGGUUUCCGGACCUCUGUGUUGAGGCCUCACAGACAUGCUGCUGUAGAACUUCACUUCCGGCCAGGCGCGGUGGCUCACGCCUGUAAUCCCAGCACUUUGGGAGGCUGAGGCGGGUGGAUCACCUGAAGUCAGGAGUUCGAGACCAGCCUGACCAACGUGGUGAAACCCCGUCUCUACUAAAUACAAAACAAUUAGCCAGACGUGGUGGUGCAUGCCUGUAAUCCCAGCUACUUGGGAGGCUGGAAGGCUGAGGCAGGAGAAUCAUUUGAACCCAGGAGGUGGAGGUUGCAGUGAACCGAGAUUGUGCCAUUGCAUUACAGCCUGGGCGACAAGAGCAAAAACUCUGUCUCAAAAAAAAAAAAAGAAAUAAAUUCACUGCCUUGCUCUCCUCUCUCUGCUCGUUUCUUAAAGAAAGGAUUCCAUUGGAUCUUUUUCUGUUAGACCUUGUGUCACGUAGAAUGAGGCUCUGUGUGAGUAAAAGAAACUUGGCUCCAAUGUCUUAAACAGGACAGAAGCAUGUUUUUCUGUUCCCUAAGAGAAGAAUGGAGGCAGCAACCCAUGUUGACGUGGUGGCUCCAGGGUAUUAUCCAGGCUCUCUACCUUCCAAAGCUAAGUUUCCUGCCUUCAGGGUCACAUUGCGGUUCUAACAGCUGCUGGAGCUCUGGCCUUCACGUUGUUGUGGCAGGCCUGAAGAAGGGGAAAAGGUGGAAGGGUGGAAAGGGGUUCCUUCUACCUGAGUCUGUUCCCUUUAAGCAUGAUUCUCAGGGCACUUGCAAACACUUCUGCUUAGGCCGGACAUGGUGGCUCACACCUGUAAUCCCAGCACUUUGGGAGACUGAGGCAGGUGGAUCACCUGAGGUCUGGAGUUUGAGACCAGCCUGACCAAUAUGGAGAAACCCCAUCUCUACUAAAAAUACAAAAUUAGCUGGGCGUGGUGGCGCAUGCCUGUAAACUCAGCUACUUGGGAGGCUGAGGCAGGAGAAUCACUUGAACCCGGGAGGCAGAGGCUGCGGUGAGCCAAGUUUGUGCCAUUGCACUCCAGCCUAGGCAACAAGAACGAAACUCCGUCUCAAAAAACAAAAAACAAACAAUAAUAAUUUUAAAAAACCCCACACUUCUACUUCUGCUUUUAUCUUACUGGUGGAAUUUAGUCAGGCGGAUAAACCUAGCUUCAAAGAUGACUGGGAAAUGUAGUAUUUAUUCUGAGUAGCUUUUCUGACCAGCUAGGAAGGGACGGAGGCGGGGAAGGUGGAUGUUGUGGUAGAAAACUAAGCUGCUGCCAGGUCACUUAAGUGGAAUAGUCUGUCUAUAUCCAUGAAGCCUUAAUGCCUCAUAACUAGCGACCACUGCUUCAUAGAAAGAAGCUGUAUGAAUACAUGACUGAUGCAGUUAGCACGGUCACCAGUCGUCUGGACAUCCUCACAGAAGCUCAGAGAUUGUUCUUGUGUCAUAUGAGCGUAUUCGCAGUAAUGGUUUAUUCUAUACUUGAAUGUUUUCAACUGUAAGAAUUCAUACAAAGCAAAUUUAAACUAAGAUCACAAAAAAACAUCCACUGUAUAUAUUUAACAAAGUCUUCAGGGAAUCUAAUAGACUGAAGUAAAACUGUGAAAAUUCUAAAACACAGUAAAAGGCUAUAAAAUAACUAAUGGCCUUUAACGAAAGAAUUAAUUACAGUAUGAUUGCUUAAUACAACCCCCCAAAUAAGCUUCUUGUUAAUUUUUAGGGAGGUUGAGGAACUCCAGCGACAACUUAUAUAUUCUACAUCCUACAUCUUUGAGUAGGUUUACUAAUCAUAGGUCUUUGUAGAUAAUUUUUCUUUACAACUUGUGCUACCAUUUAUCAGUUGUGUAAUUUCACAAGGAGGUGUAUUGAAGUAUAAUUUACAUAUGAUAAAAUUCACCCAUUGUAAGUGAUUUGAGUAUAUUUGCUGAGUUGUGGAACCACCACCACAAACCAGUUUUAGAACAUUUCCAUCUGCUUUCUGCUUCUGUAAAUUUGUUUUUACUAGGUAUUUCCUAUAAAUGGAAUCAAUUAUGCAGUAUGUAUUUAGUGUCUAACUUCUUUCACUUAAUGGUUUUAAAGUUCAUCCAUGUUGUAGCAUGUGAAGAAAUCCAUUCCUUUUCAUUGCUGAAUAGUAUUCCAUUGUAGGAAUGUACCAUAUUUUGCAUAUUCAUUCAUCAGUGGAUGGCUAUUUAGACUGUUUCCAGUUUUUGACUAGCAUGAAUAAUGGUGCUAUAAACUUUUGUGUACAUGUCUUCGUGUGGACAUGGAUUUUCAUUUUUCUGAUAGAUUCUUAGAAAUAGAAUUGCUGGAUUGUAUUAUUAGUUUGUUUUAAGUUUUUAAGAAACUGCCAAACUGCAUUCCAAAGUGUCUGUGGCAUUUUACAAUCCGACUAGCAAUGCAUAAGGAUUUCAAUUUCCCUGUUUCCUUAACAACACUUGUUGUUGUCUCUCUUUUUCAUUAUAGCCAUCCUAGUGGGUGUCUAGAGGUAUCGUCUUCUGGUUUUAAUUUGCAUUUCCCUAAUGAAUAAUAAUUUUGAGCAUCUUGUCUUUGUAUAUUAGACAUUGAUAUUUUACCUUUGGGAAAAUAUCUAUUUAAUCUUUUGCUCAUUAAAAAAAUUUGGCAAACACUUUCUAAGUGUUGGUCAUUGUAAAUGCUCUCUAUAUAUUCUAGAUUUAAAUCUUUUAUCACAUAUACGACUUGCACACAUCUUAUCCCAGCCUGUGACUUGUCUUUUUAUGUUCUCAGUGGUGUCUUUUUUUUUUUUUUUUUUGAGACAGGGUCUCACUGUGUCACCCAGGCUGGAGUGCAAUGGCACAAUCACAAUCACAGCUCACUACAGCUUGACCUUCUAGGCUCAAGUAAUUCUCCCACCUCAGUCCCCGGAGUAGCUGGGACUACAAGUGUGCACCACCACGUCCAGCUAUUUUUGUAUUUUUGGUAGAGAUGGGGGUCUCACCAUGUUGCCCAGGCUGGUCUUGAACUGCUGGGCUGAAGGGAUGCACCUGUCUUGGCCUCCCAAAGUGUUGGGGAUUACAGUCAUGAGCCACUGCGCCCAGCCCGUUGGUGUCUUUUAAGCGCAAACGUUUUAAAUUUUGAUUUAGUCCAGGUUAUCAAUGUUUUCUUUUAUGGUUUGUGCUUUUGGUGUUGACUUAUGGGAUUCUGAACAAGUUGUCUAACC
rnacentral:lncRNA from 10 species